UACGAAGGGGGCAAGCGUUGUUCGGAAUCACUGGGCGUAAAGCGCACGUAGGCGGAUUGUUAAGUCAGGGGUGAAAUCCCGAGGCUCAACCUCGGAACUGCCUUUGAUACUGGCGAUCUAGAGUCCGGGAGAGGUGAGUGGAACUGCGAGUGUAGAGGUGAAAUUCGUAGAUAUUCGCAAGAACACCAGUGGCGAAGGCGGCUCACUGGCACGGAACUGACGCUGAGGUGAGAAAGCGUGGGGAGCAAACAGG
rnacentral:rRNA from 1 species